UGGGGAAUAUUGGACAAUGGGCGCAAGCCUGAUCCAGCCAUGCCGCGUGAGUGACGAAGGUCUUCGGAUUGUAAAGCUCUUUUGGCGGGGACGAUAAUGACGGUACCCGCAGAAUAAGCCCCGGCUAACUUCGUGCCAGCAGCCGCGGUAAUACGAAGGGGGCUAGCGUUGUUCGGAAUUACUGGGCGUAAAGCGCACGUAGGCGGACUGAUAAGUCAGGGGUGAAAUCCCGGGGCUCAACCUCGGAACUGCCUUUGAUACUGUUAGUCUCGAGUCCGGAAGAGGUGAGUGGAAUUCCUAGUGUAGAGGUGAAAUUCGUAGAUAUUAGGAAGAACACCAGUGGCGAAGGCGGCUCACUGGUCCGGUACUGACGCUGAGGUGCGAAAGCGUGGGGAGCAAACAGGAUUAGAUACCCAUGUAGUCCCUGAGCGGGCUGGCAAGGCGCAU
rnacentral:rRNA from 1 species